GCUGCUUUUGUUUGUCUUCAUUUAAUUGGCGUGGUCAGAGGGCCACCAGCAAGACCAAUUAAAUAGAUUCAAUAGAUUCUACUGUAUAUUUUUGUUGUGGUUAUUUUUUUUUUCUUCACGAACGCAUAGCAUAAAAUGUCUAGAAUAAUUUUUCUGAGCACUGGUAAUGAAUAUAAAAUGCUCUCUGUUCCAGCCUGCAUACGAAUGAUGAAUUGACUUUGCCUGUUGCUGAAGAGCCUCAUCUCCUUAAUGCAUUGCAGAUAUGUCUAAUGGAUGCAAGCUGUCAGGGUCUGGCAGUAACCAGUCCCCACCAAAAAUAUUUUCGCCUGGGACUGUUCCAUCAGAUUCCAGCUCUGCUCUCACAGAGGAAAACGUGAAAAGGCUGGAAGAGGAGUACACAACUUCUAAGGAAGCCUUCCAUAAGAAGAGAAUACGAGAUUAUAUCAAGCAGAGUAAUAUUGCUCUCUCCUGCAAUGAGGAAACUGGGGAAACCAGCACAGACCUUGUCUGGGAUGAAGAACCUGAAGGAGCCCCCUCAUCCUUUCCAGCAAAACAGAAAGAAAACAGCAGAGAAGCCUCCCGGAACAGCUAUGCAGUUAUUUCAAGGAAAGAUAAGCUAUUAACAGAUGUGGAGAUGCUCUCUGGGGAAAAUGAGUUUUUCUCUGAAGCAGAAGUGAGUGAGAGGCCAGCUGAAAGGGAGGAAGAGGCAAGAACAGAGGAGGGAGAGGAAAACAGCCCAUCAGAGCGCUGUGAGCAAGCUGCGUGUGAGCCUGCUGAGCCUGCUUACAGAAGUCCAAGGCCGGAGUCAGAGGAGGAAUCACCAGCCAGCCCAGAAAAGCAGGAGGAUAAUGGGAUGGCAGCUGCCCAGUGCACAGCCCAGGAAACAACUGAAACUGAAGAGUCUGCAAGGUGUACCUUCUGCGGUGCUCCUGAAAAACCAAUCCCAACAGUAGCAGAUCUGAAGGAAAAACCACAGGAAAAUGUGAGUCUACUCAUACUGCGUUGGGACGUUGCCAUGUAAGCAGGUUCUGCCCAGGAUCCACAUCACCCUUGAUGUGUGCUGCACCCCACAGCUCUUUUGCUGCAGGAGCUAUAAGAAGGUAUUCAGCGCUGCCAUCCAAGACCUGAUGAAUGAAGAUGAAGCAGAGGACGAGAUGGACUCUGCUUCCCAUGCUGAUGAUUUACAAGCUGAGUUGCGAAAUGGCAUCAAGGAGAAGGUGUUGCAACAGUAAGGAACCCAGAGAGACCCCAGACACUGGUGGGAGGAGGGAGGCCCAUCAUCACCUCCUUUUGCUCUGGUCCAAGGGAUUUCACUGGUGGAAACCUGCUUGAGGCAUCUCACCACCAACAACAAUUUGAUCUUACUGUCAACCUCUCUUUUUUUGAUCUCAGGUUAAGUGAGAGAGGACUUAAGAACAACAGGAAAAUCCUUCAGCAGUACUUGAAAAUUGUUUCCCGUGAGUACCUUGAAUUGCUG
rnacentral:lncRNA from 1 species